ACAAUCAUAAGUUACUUGCAUCAAACACAAAUUCUUUUCCCGAUCAUUUUUACGACAGUUAUUUCGACUUCUCAGAAAUAUUCUCGAUUUCAAUGCCGACUAUGAACGUUCGUUUCGCUUUAUUAUUGGCAACUAGCCAAAUGUUUCUCAGUAACGCGUUUCAACUGCCACCAAUAUUUCUUCUUCUACAGUGCAUACAUACUACAUGUAUGAGUAAAAUUCGUAUCGAUAUAAGCUCGCGAUUGAGCAUCGUCUCAGCUAUAAUCGCAUUCAAGUACAUUACAUUGAGGUUCAAUGCCAGUCCAGAUCGCCCAGUGUUUUACUACAUUCUAAAACCAGUUUUGUGAUAGUCGUAAUCAUAUGGGUGUCACGUAUGAAAUGUCGCCAGUCUUAUUGUGUUAUGUCAUUUAUUAGUAUGCCUUCUUCCUAUUCUUAUUCGAGCAUAUGCGAAUUGCUUGAAAUAAUAAAAAUUAUUCUUGAUACGAAUAACUCGAGAAAAUGGAACUAUCUUCUAAACUAUGUUCGUUGUAGUCAACACAUCUUUAUUUUUUUGUAUAUUUAACAUCCUUUCAAGCUGUUUUCAUUCGCGAAAUAUAAUGAAAUUUCGAAAUUUGAUCGCAACUUGAUGAGAAUCGCAGAGAUCUCUUGUUGAGUGAACGGGAAAAGUUCCUCGAUAUGCAGCAACCAUCUUGUGAUGUGAAUUUUAAAUUGCUUAUUUUCCCAAGGUGAGUAAAAAGGAUCGUUGAAAGAAAUGUGAAGAAAUAAUAUUAAUUAGAACACAGAAAUUGGGGAGGAUCCGAAUUCGAGAGUUUUUCUAGUGCGAGCGACGAAAGAUCGAUGACUCAGCGGUGAAUACUAAUAUAGAAAGGGGAGAAGAGUCAAGUCAGCCUCUUUUUAGAGAGUUUGUUUUGAAAUAAUCGCCUAUAGACUCGCUCAGCAAUGAAGUGCACUUAUAUACAUACGUCAAUACAGUCAGAAAAAGAGCUAUGCAUAUGGUACUGAGAAAUGCAUUCGAAUUAGUACGCGCCACGUGUUUGCCCAGGGUCGUCGCACGGUUUACUGCCGGUCCAGCAUAAAAAAAACUAGGAUUUAGUUAGGAUAAUCGCCUCGUAUUUUAUUGAGUGUGAACAAUGCGACACUUCAGGUUCAAUGAACAAUCGACUAAGAACGAGGCAGCUGUCAGUCCAUGUGCCGCAGCGUGAUAUGUAAAUGGGACGUAAAUUCGUAAGCAUGGCGAUGGGGACAUUUUAGCUUCCUAACAGACCUACGUACAUUAUGUUAUGAUGUUUCACAAACAUGAAGUAACAAAAAAUGAAGAAACACGUAUAAAAAACACAAUUGAAUACAGUGACAGUUCAAAGGAAAAAAUAUUCAACGAUAUAAAAACAUACGAAAAAAUAAAUGAAUAUCAUUAUCAAAUCCUUAUUGUGUUAUACGUAUCUAUAAUAUAUAUACAUAUAUAUAUAGAAGCGACUAAUCAACUUUGGCAAUGUAUCAAAAGGCAAUUUACUGUAAAGAAACCAAAAAUGUCGAAUACCUAGUUGUAAAUUGAAGGCGUUCGAGACAGUCUCUUCGUUCGACAAGAAUCUGUAUCAGGCCUAAACAAUUUUAGACCGUAGCAAUACAAGUUGAUAAUCCAAUUUAUUUAACUAUUAGAACACGUAGACUCUCAGGUCUUGAAAGGAUUCCAUUGAGACGAGUCACUCUAUGAGAAACUCACCACUUUUAUAUUGAGUUUUAGUUGUGUUAAAAAUAUUCCAGACGUUGAUAUUUAAGUGUAUAGAAACAUUUCAUAAAAUUCUAAAUGUAAAAAGUAAGAUUUAUUAGCGAUGUAAAGAUGAGAAUAUUGAUCCUCAUUAGAAACUCAUGCGAGCACUAUACACACACACACACACACACAAGUAUAGUACAUAAAUGAACUUCACAGCCUCUUUUGAAAAUGAUAUAGUAUAAUACACUGUCUUAAAAUAUAGUACGUCAGAAAUUACGAGAUUCAACGAUUUCUUUUAUCUCGUGGCAACAGAAAUAAAGCUACGUUAUAGAAUUAAU